rnacentral:lncRNA from 1 species
GGCAGCGGGCGAGGAGGCUGCGAGCGAGCCGCGAACCGAGCGGGCGGCGGGCGCGCGCACCAUGGGGGAGAAACCCGGGACCAGCUCACCGUGUACUUGGGCAAGCGGGACUUCGUAGAUCACCUGGACAAAGUGGACCCUGUAGAUGGCGUGGUGCUUGUGGACCCUGACUACCUGAAGGACCGCAAAGUGUUUGUGACCCUCACCUGCGCCUUCCGCUAUGGCCGUGAAGACCUGGAUGUGCUGGGCUUGUCCUUCCGCAAAGACCUGUUCAUCGCCACCUACCAGGCCUUCCCCCCGGUGCCCAACCCACCCCGGCCCCCCACCCGCCUGCAGGACCGGCUGCUGAGGAAGCUGGGCCAGCAUGCCCACCCCUUCUUCUUCACCAUACCCCAGAAUCUUCCAUGCUCCGUCACACUGCAGCCAGGCCCAGAGGAUACAGGAAAGGUACGGGAGGAACAGCUCUGAGGGCUCCUAGGGCAGGACAUGGGCCAGCAGGAGCCUGGAGGCACAGCUGAGCCAGAGGGUGAACUGUCGAGAUGCCAGGGUG